ACCGAAAUAGGUCAGUUGGGAGAGCGUUAGACUAUAGAUCGAAAGGUCUCCGGUUCGAUCCCGGAAUUCGGCA
rnacentral:tRNA from 1 species